CGCAGCCUCGGCGGGGCCCGGCCGGCGGCGGGGAGGUCGCGGGGCCGGGAGGCGCGAGAAAAAGAAAAACAUCCAUUCAUGAGAGUUCAGGGAUACGUGAAAAUGAAGCAAAUGAGGAAAGACCCAUUCACAUUCCUCCAAAAGAUCUGUGGCUCACUGGAAUCAUGUUACUGGCUCCUGGUAGUCCCUGACUUUACCUGUUUGUUCCAGGAACUUGCUUUAUGGCCAUUUGUUCUAAUGAUCAGUUUGGACAACCAACCUUUAUUCCUCCACCUCAGACAAUAUUCAACAUCCUGUAAUCAUCAUAGCGGUGCUGCCUGCUUUCCUUGGCCACCAAGUGGAGGUGUUACCAUCUGGUGGGUCAGAGGAUCCCUUCGUUUGAGGUAGGAUAUGGAAUCGCAUCCACUCUGAUUUGUUGCCAGCAGUGUUCUCCAACUUAAUUAUCCUCUGUGAUCCACACUAAAGUAUUUUGAAGAAUAACAAAGCUCUCCAAGGGUCUUAAUACAGUUCUGGAGGUCAGUAAGUCCAAUAUCAAGGUGCCAGCAUCAGGCAUUAUGGCCAGCACACUUCCUGCGAAUUUGUACCACCACCCCUUAUCUCAUCUAUGCUUCUGCUCACAGCACUGCACUGGAGCCAGGGGAUGGAUACCUGGCACUUGUAUGUCCUAUGAAGAAAGAGAGGAGGAUACAUUGCUUCCCUAUGUAUCCUUAAGGGAUAGACCAGAGGAAAAGUUAAGUAAUAGAUAAACAAUCAAUAAUACCUAAUUGGUUUCCCAAUCAAUUAGCACUUACUGUGUUGGAUUUGUUCACUUUCAGCCAUAGUUACACCUUGAAUUUCUGUAUUUCCAAAGUGGGCUCUUUUUUUUCUAAGGAAUUUCCUCAAUUUUUUCGUGUAAGUAGGCUUCUGAGGAGUCUAUUUCACUGAUUUUUGUGAUAUAUUUAAUCAUUCCAGGGCUACAAAAUUUAAGCUGAAUUUAAAUUAUUCAUAAUAUAACAAUCUCUCUUCCUCUGUCUCUCUUUCUUUCUAUAUCUUUCAUUACAUAUAUGUAAUAAAAUAUUUUCAUUAUAUAUCUGUAUAUCUUUUAUAGAAAUCUUUUCAUUAUAUAUUUCAUAUAUAUUCAUGUAUCUUUCAUACAUU
rnacentral:lncRNA from 10 species